ACCUGCGGCUCAGUGGUUACCGAUGAUGAUGACUUGUUCUUCUUUCCGGAUUAUGGCUGCUGUUGCUUAGUGAGUGGGGUUGACUCAGUGCACAGCCUUUCCUCACUUUAAAAAUAAUCUGCUUGCACGGGCAUUGCACGAUAGCAACAUUGAUUAAGCUUCUGGCAAUGGCCAUACUCGAUAACGAGGGGGCAGCCAUAAUA